rnacentral:rRNA from 1 species
AGCCAGACUCCUACGGGAGGCAGCAGUGGGGAAUAUUGCACAAUGGGGGAAACCCUGAUGCAGCGACGCCGCGUGAGUGAAGAAGUAAUUCGUUAUGUAAAGCUCUCUCAGCAGGGAAGAAACAGACGGUACCUGAGUAAGAAGCCCCGGCUAACUACGUGCCAGCAGCCGCGGUAAUACGUAGGGGGCGAGCGUUAUCCGGAUUUACUGGGUGUAAAGGGAGCGUAGACGGCUGUGCAAGCCAGAUGUGAAAGCCCGGGGCUCAACCCCGGGACUGCAUUUGGAACUGUGUGGCUGGAGUGUCGGAGAGGCAGGCGGAAUUCCUAGUGUAGCGGUGAAAUGCGUAGAUAUUAGGAGGAACACCAGUGGCGAAGGCGGCCUGCUGGACGAUGACUGACGUUGAGGCUCGAAAGCGUGGGUAGCAAACAGGAUUAGAUACCCUCGUAG